GUGAGGAAUAUUGGUCAAUGGACGAGAGUCUGAACCAGCCAAGUCGCGUGAAGGAAGACGGUUCUAUGAAUUGUAAACUUCUUUUGUGCAGGAAUAAAGUGGGUUACGUGUAACCUUUUGUAUGUACUGUACGAAUAAGGAUCGGCUAACUCCGUGCCAGCAGCCGCGGUAAUACGGAGGAUCCGAGCGUUAUCCGGAUUUAGUGGGAUUAAAGGGUGCGUAGGUGGAUUGAUAAGUCAGCGGUGAAAGUUUGCAGCUUAACUGUAAAAGUGCCGUUGAAACUGUCGGUCUUGAGUGCAAAUGAGGUAGGCGGAAUGUGUUGUGUAGCGGUGAAAUGCUUAGAUAUAACACAGAACUCCGAUUGCGAAGGCAGCUUACUGGGAUGCAACUGACACUGAUGCACGAAAGCGUGGGUAUCAAACAGGAUUAGAAACCCCGGUAGUCC
rnacentral:rRNA from 1 species